rnacentral:misc_RNA from 1 species
GAAAUGCGAUACUUGGUGUGAAUUGCAGAAUCCCGUGAACCAUCGAGUCUUUGAACGCAAGUUGCGCCCGAAGCCAUUAGGCCGAGGGCACGCCUGCCUGGGUGUCACACAUCGUUUCCCCAACGUCUGGGUUCAUGGCCGACUUCGCCGUGAUAAAAUGGUGGAUGAGCCACGCUCGAGACCAAUCACGUGCGAGCCGGUCAGUUCUGGACCCAUCGACGACCCUUUGCGUGCACGCACGCUCCCAACGAGACCUCAGGUCAGGCGGGGCUACCCGCUGAGUUUAA